UAAAACCCUCACCCAAGAAACUACUAAGAAAAGGAAAGAAAGGCCUCGCUCACGCCCACCCUUUCCUUUUGUCCUAACCUCUCAUCCAAGGAGGAGAAGAAAGGGAGGAGGGGGGAGCGAUGAAGAAGAAUGAGCAGGCGCCGGAAAGGGACCUCUACGCCCUGCUCCACGUCUCCCCUGACGCGUCCGACGAGGAGAUCCGCAAGGCCUACCGCCAAUGGGCCCAAAUCUACCACCCCGACAAGUACCAAGCCCCUCAGAUGAAGGAUAUUGCCACGGAAAAUUUUCAAAGGAUCCGUGAUGCAUAUGAGAUCUUAAGCGAUGAGAACAAAAGACAAAUAUAUGAUAUCUAUGGCAUGGAAGGGCUGAGCUCGGGCUUGGAGCUUGGUCCAAGGUUGAAGAGGCCAGAGGAAAUUAAGGAAGAAUUGGAAAGGUUACAGCGUCGCAAAGAGGAAGAGAGGGUAUUUGCUCAUGCUCGACCAACUGGUUCAAUUAUCGCUAAUUUUUCUUUGCCACGAUAUCUAAGCGGUCGUGGCAUCAUGAAAGGAAUGGCAAUGGUUAGUGAGGUUCAGUCACAGGUAUCCAAGCGCAACACUGUUGUCAUUGCUGGGAACUUGGGAGUCACUGAUAAUGCUGGAGCUGGUGCUGCAACAGCUUUGCUGCGGCACCAGGUGUCCCCAGUUGCUUCAAUAGAGUUCAUGGCAACAGCUGGUCUACGGUCUCUUAUUGGCGUACAAACGUCUCGUCACAUUUCACUUCACUCAACAGCGACUGCUGGGUUAACAAUUUCUUUGAGAGAUGGAUCAGUCAAUCUUUCAAACACCUGGACACGACAUCUAUCAGAAGCAACUGUUGGAAACAUACAACUUGUUUUAGGAACAGAAUCAAGUAUCGCUGUUGGAUGGCAAAAGCGAGAUGAAAAAACUUCUGCUGCUGGAGAAGUAAAGUUUGGGACGAGUUUUUUUGGCACAUCAGGCCAUUAUACUUAUCAUUUUUCUUCCAAGUCUCAUGGCAGAGUUGCUUGUAGGAUUGGAAGCACUGCUCUUGACUUUGAAAUUGGGGGUGGAAGACGCAUAUCUGAUUUUAGUACUGUACGGAUGCUCUACAACAUAGGCAUUCAGGGAAUCUCUUGGAGGUUUGAGUUACAUCGUGGGGGCCAAAAGCUAAUAAUUCCAGUCUUGCUUUCCAGACAGCUGAACUCGUUAGUUGCAACCAGCACGCUGAUAAUACCUUCAUCACUUUAUUUUCUUCUGAAGACGUAUAUUGUGAAACCUUACUAUCGUAGACGGGAGCGAUGGAAGGCACUUGAGAAGAUGGAGAAGUCAUCAGUUCAGGUUCAGGAAGCAAGGGAGGCAGCUAAAAAAGCACAGAAGCUACUAGAAAAUGUAUCCAACAGGAAGAAAAAUAAACAAAUAGAAAAGGAUGGAUUGGUUAUUACAAGAGCCAUAUAUGGAAACCUUAAAGCUAUUAGAGUAGGCAAUGAGCAUGGUGAGGUGAAUGAUGACGUGGCUUCGCAAGUCUUAGAUGUAACAUUACCACUGAACUUUUUGGUGACUGAGGCUGGACAGCUUAAGCUUCAUGAGGGCAUAAAGAAGUCAGGAAUAAUGGGUUUCUGUGAUCCCUGUCCUGGCCAGCCUAAGCAGCUACUAGUGGAAUACACAUUCAGCGGCCACAGAAGCCAGGUGGUGGUUGAUGACACUGAUGAAUUGCUAAUCCCACAAGCGGUCCAUCAAUUUUGAAUACUGUUGAUUAAGAAGUAACAGAGGUGCUGCAAAAAAUUUUGCAUGCCGUCAUGCUCUGAGGAUCAUGAAUGCCCUUUAUAUGUCGCAAGAUCAAAUGAUUUUUUACAGACGUGUGUGUGUGUCAUGCACAUGGUUUAAUUCAAGCCUCUGAGACAAAUCUGAAUCCUGAAGUAUUAAAUGGAAGACAAUGUUGUAUUCAAGCCUUGAUGUAAAUAUUGAUGUUAUUUGGUGGAAGCAGCACUAGAGAUCCGCGUAAAACUAGUUGGACUCACUGAACUGGGGACCUCACGAGGUGCAUAUUUCAAGAAAGCAAGGAGUAUAUUUAUGUCGGCAUACAACUAAAGUUUGAUAAUGAUCUUUUCAAGCAAGGCUUGUACUGUUGGUUUCAUUUAUUUAGCCGUGAGAAUGUAGCUAUCUUUCCUUUAUUUUGCUUUUUUUUUUUAAAAAAAAAGAAUAGAAUCCUUUUAUUUUA